ACCAUCCCCUGCCCUUCAAUGACUCGCUAAGGAUCCCAUUCCCAGCUGCCGUGUGUCGUGCUUGAUGUACUUCAACACAUGGAUUCACCUUAACCUAUUCUUCUGUUGUCAUUUGUCUCCAUAUAUUGACAGGCUGCCAGGCCAUCUCUACUGCUCCCCCAGGCUAAGACCAUCUCUUCCCUCACCAAGGCACAUGGGCUCCCUGACAGGGGGUGAAAGAAAGAUAUAGGUUAGUGAUGCAGGAGUAGCCUCCACAAAUCUUCCAAUAGCAACAGAAUCAGCACUGACCAAGGUGCUCCCUCCUGUCCAGCUCUUCCAGAGUCUCCCUCCUGUCCAGCACUUCCAGAGCCUCCCUCCUGUCCGGAGCCGCCAGUCAGUCAGGAGGUGCAGGUGCCGCCCGUCAGUCAGGAGCUGCCGGAGCCGCCCGUCAGUCAGGAGCUGCCGGAGUCGCCCGUCAGUCAGGAGCUGCCGGAGUCGCCCGUCAGUCAGGAGCUGCCGGAGUCGCCCGUCAGUCAGGAGCUGCCUGAGCCGCCCGUCAGUCAGGAGCUGCCGGAGCCGCCCGUCAGUCAGGAGCCGCCGGAGCCGCCCGUCAGUCAGGAGCCACCGGAGACGCCCUGCGGGGUCCACGUCCCGUGCCAGAUCCGCCACCGCGGACAGAUGCCCACCCAGAACCUCCCCUAUUAGUUCAGGUUUUGCGGCCAGAGUCCGCACCUUUGGGGACUGUCACGCCCUGACCCUAGAUUGCUUUGUAUGUUUCUAUUUUUCGUUUGGUCAGGGUGUGAUGUGGGUGGGUAUUCUAUGUUGUAUGUCUAAGUAUUGUGUUUCUAUGUUUAGGCUUGGUAUGGUUCCCAAUCAGAGGCAGCUGGUUAUCGUUGUCUCUGAUUGAGAACCAUACUUAGGCAGCCUGUUUUCCCACUAAGGGUGCGGGUAGUUGUUUUCUGUCUCUGUGUUUGCAACAGACAGAACUGUUUCGUGUUGGUCUAUUUUUGUUAUUUUGGUCAUAGUGUUCUGAUUUAAAAUAAAUAUACAUCAUGAACACGUACGACGCUGCACUUUGGUCCUCUUCACCUUCUUCAACCCACGACAGCCGUUACAGGCUGCCACCUCUGGUAUCUACUACGGAAGAUGCAUAAUUUCACAGUCAUAGUAGUGUUAUAAUUUCACCCAGGUUGAACUAAUAUACUAUUAUCAGAUUCCCCAAAUAUGGUUAGUUGGAUUCCCAGGUAUUCAUAGGAAAUGAGUGGGUGUCAUGGUCGGUCUCAAAGACUGAGAAAAUAGCCUUCAUUUUACAGGACCUCACUUUAAUGUUAUCUCUAUUUUUUGUUGUAGGACAGUCCAUGAGUUCUGAUAACUUACCAGAAGUGUCAGGAGAAGCCAGUACAGAGGUGGGUAAUGGCACAGCUUGUUUUCUACAUUCCCCAUGUGGGCAGCGUGGGAAGUACAGGGAAAACAUUCUGAGUUUACAGCCUAGGAGGUCACACACACUGGUUUCACCCGUACUGUAGACAGGGAAAAACAGAAGAAGUGUUAGCUCGUUGUUUCCUUGUAGUCUUUGUAUUUUUAAUUAAAGGUAAGCAAAAUAUUUUACUCCUUAGUGGGAAAUAGAUGUUCCUAUAUUUACCAUCUGUAAUAAUAUUUUGUUGAUUAGUACAGUAAUGUAAUGAAUGUGUUUUUGAAUAAAUAUUGUGUUGAUCAAUAAUGAGUAAUGUCAUUAAUUGAAUAAAUG
ensembl:lncRNA